GAUGAACGCUGGCGGCGUGCCUAAUACAUGCAAGUCGAGCGAACAGACGAGGAGCUUGCUCCUCUGACGUUAGCGGCGGACGGGUGAGUAACACGUGGAUAACCUACCUAUAAGACUGGGAUAACUUCGGGAAACCGGAGCUAAUACCGGAUAAUAUAUUGAACCGCAUGGUUCAAUAGUGAAAGACGGUUUUGCUGUCACUUAUAGAUGGAUCCGCGCCGCAUUAGCUAGUUGGUAUGGUAACGGCUUACCAAGGCAACGAUGCGUAGCCGACCUGAGAGGGUGAUCGGCCACACUGGAACUGAGACACGGUCCAGACUCCUACGGGAGGCAGCAGUAGGGAAUCUUCCGCAAUGGGCGAAAGCCUGACGGAGCAACGCCGCGUGAGUGAUGAAGGUCUUCGGAUCGUAAAACUCUGUUAUUAGGGAAGAACAAAUGUGUAAGUAACUAUUCACGUCUUGACGGUACCUAAUCAGAAAGCCACGGCUAACUACGUG
rnacentral:rRNA from 1 species